UUGGGUUGGCCAAAAAGUUCAUUUGGGUUUUUCCAUAACAUCCUGUGGAAAAACCUGAAUGAACUUUUUGGCUUCCUCA
rnacentral:miRNA from 1 species